CAAAACUUCAAACGUAAAUAAAAGGAUGUCCAGUUCACCAGAAGAAAAUCGAACUUUCAGAACGGGUGGCCACUCCGAAUUCCCUCACAGCUCCAAGCCCACUAUGGUUGGGGAUUUCCUGCGUGGAUGAAAAUAAAAGGGGUGAGUUUGGGGAAACUCAGUGUGUAAGGAAAACUCAUUCAAAGCCCAAGUCAGCUCAAGCCUAUUGGGCCUAAGCCCAUUCAGGUAACAGUGGUACUAGGCCAAAGCCCUUUUUAGAUUACAAUAAACUAGGCCUUAGCCCCUUAUUUAGAUAACAGUAUGGCCCAUAGGCCUAUUUCGAAAUACAUGCAACAUCAAUAACAUAUGCAAGCCCAUUUGGGGAGACUACUCAACCCACCAACCACUACACUCCACCCGUACCAGCCAUACACUCUAUGUGGGGAAUAGCUCAACCCACCCAGCCCAACACUCCACAGUUGUAGCCUUGCUGCUCAGUUAACAGUAAAUUGAGGCAAAGCCUCCAGUAUGUGGACAAGCCACUUUCAGUACUUCCUCCGUCAAUAUCCCAAUCCCAUGCAUCAGAUAAUAAAAACAUGGCAUGCAGUAAAUAACAACUGUCAAACAUGCAUUUAGGUCAAUUUAACCCUAGGGGUAUUUCAGUAAUUUAUCUCCUAGGGGUAAAACUGUAAAUUUUUCACUUUUAAAGGUAUUUCAGUAAUUUAUCUAUUUUAGGGUUUUUCAUGCAUAUUCCUACCUUUCACGUACUACAGAAUCACGUACCGAGGGUUCUUACCGAAUUGGGCCCGUUGGCCCAGCAUUCCAAUUUUGGCCUAUUAAGCCCAAAAAUAUCGAGGGCGCAAAAAUCAUGUACUUUGCAGUCCAAACAUUGCAGCUUACCAAAAAUAUUAAUCGAUUUACCUCACGAGCAUUCGCACACUCGCAAAUCUACAAAAUACCGAUUUUCAGCAUUUCGGCUUUUCGACUUUUGCCGAUCUAGACUAAGAAAGAGGGUGUUAGUUACACACCUGUUUGCGACGAUAUGCUGACGAGAUCCACACACGAACCGCCAACAAUUAGAUUACUAACACAUUAAUCUUACUAUUCAAAUAUAAACUACAUAUUAACCCCUUACAAUAUUCGGCCAACCACACCUACAGAUCAUAGUAAGCUUAUAAGAAAUCAAUAAGCAACUCAUUAACAAAUUUUUUGUCAAUGUUUACCACAUAAUCAUAAUUUCACUGCAAGCUGUCUUCCUGAGCAACAGUCACUAAAUUAUUUAUAACUGGAGCUACGAAACUCCAAAUUUUUGAUUUAGCCAAUCAAUACCAUAUUUUUUCUCAAAGUUUCCUAUGUUUCACUGUUUGACUAAUCUGACCACUCUUCAUUACGAAUCAAAUUUAUCAUUGUACAGAAUUCAAAAUAUGUUCUUGUUUAUUUCAUUAGAAAUUAUACUCAAUAAGCUUUAAUUACAUAAUUUAUUCAGCUUCUAAUUCAUCUCCCAAAAUUUAUGGUGAUUUUCCAAAGUCACGUUACUGCUGCUGUCCCAAGCAGAUUUAUUACCAAAUCACUCUUUCACACAUACCUUGCAUGCAUGUUAUUUAAACAUGUAUAUCACCAAUCAAUCAUCACAUAUCUAUGAUUUUACUUAAGAAUAAUCUCCAUUUCAUCAUUUUAAAGCACAACAUGUUAGCUGAUUUUUCCCUUUAACAUCUAAGGCACAUGUAUGCUCAUUUGUUUGGCUCAACUUCACCUAUCAUCCAUUUUUUUCAUCAAAAGAACAUGAAACAACAACUAUUUCCUUCAUUUUAAUUCAUGACUAAAUGCUCACAACACAACUAAAAACCAAAAAUGCUUCAAGAGUUAAGGUAGAAUCAAGAAGAACUCAUGAACAUCAAGAUAUAAGCCAACUACCAUGAACUUACCUUCAAUUUUCUUCCCCAAGUGACCGAACACUCAAGAGCUUUCUCUUCGCCUUUCUCUUCUCUAACUUUCAACUAUGAUGAACAAAGAUGGACAAAACUUUGUUCUUUUCACCCCUUUUUCUUUUAAUAAAACUUCAUAUUUCAUCCUUUUAAUUCUUUAAUACAAAAGACAUGAAAGUCUUAUCAUGAAACAUUUACCUAACCCAUUAUCGUGAAACAUUUACCUAAUCCAUUAUCAUGGAACAUUUACCUAACCUAUUAUCAAUUUGUAUCAAUUUGUACCAUAAAUUAUGGAUAUCAAGUGUACUUUUUUUCUAUAACAACAUGAUGGCUGGCCACUUCAUGUAAAAUGGGAGGUUUGUCAUGCAAAUCCUCCUAUUUUGCACUCCUAUUUAUUUGGUCACUUCAAUUUAGCCUAUAGCAUUUUCAAACAUUUUCACAUAGGUCCUAUUUCAUAAUUUCACUCACAAAUGACAAAAUUAAAGCAUGAAAUUUUGCCAACAUUCACAGAAUUCCCAAAAAUUGGGGCAUUACAACUCUACCCCCCUUAAAGAAAUUUCGGCCUCGAAAUUUACCUGAUCCAAAUAGUUGAGGGUAUUGUUGACGCAUAGUCUCUUCUGAUUCCCAAGUAGCUUCUUCCCUUCCAUGAUUACGCCACAGUACUUUUACCAACGGAACUAACUUCCUUCUUAGAACUUUAACCUCUCGAUCUAAAAUUUGUAUGGGUUCUUCCUCAAAGGUCAAAUCAGUCCUUACUUCAAUCUCCUCCACUGGCACAACAUGUGAGCGAUCUGAUCGAUAUCGCCUUAACAUAGACACAUGAAAGACGUCAUAGAUUCUGUCUAACUCUGGUGGUAACUCUAACUGAUACGCUACUGGCCCUACCCGCCUAAGAACCCGAUAAGGCCUUAUAAACCGCGGACUCAAUUUACCUUUCUUGCCGAAUCUCAAGAUCUUCUUCCAAGGUGAAACCUUUAAGAAAACCAUAUCCCCAACUGCGAACUCUAUCUCUUUGCGCUUUAGAUCCGCAUACGACUUCUGUCUAUCAGAUGCCUCCUUUAGUCGAUCUCUUAUCAACUUAACCUUACUUUCAGUAUCUGCCACCAACUCCGGUCCAAGCACUUGUCGUUCACCCAACUCUGUCCAACAUGUAGGCGUACGACAUCUUCGCCCAUAAAGUGCCUCAUAUGGAGCCAUCUGAAUACUUGCUUGGUAGCUGUUAUUCUAUGCAAACUCCGCUAAUGGCAAGUAGUCCUCCCAACUCCCACGAAAAUCGAUGAUACAACCCCUUAACAUAUCCUCCAAAAUCUGAAUAACCCUCUCCGACUGUCCAUCUGUCUGUGGGUGAAAAGCAGUACUGAAAUCCAAACGUGUACCCAAUGCCUCCUGCAACUUCUUCCAGAACUGAGAUGUAAACCUAGGGUCUCGGUCGAAAAUAAUCGACACUGGCACUCCAUGUAGUCGCACUAUCUCUGCCACAUACAACCUAGCCAACUUUUGUAGGGAGUAAUCAGUACGAACUGGUAUGAAAUGGGCAGAUUUUGUUAACCUAUCCACCACUACCCACACAGAAUCUUUCUUGGUGGGUGUCAAAGGUAGCCCACUCACAAAGUCCAUAGUGACUCUCUCUCACUUCCACAAUGGAAUUUUCACCGGUUGUAGUAAUCCAGAAGGAAAUUAAUGUUCAGCUUUCACUUGCUGGCAUGUCAGACAUUUCCCCACGAACUCCGUUACUUCUCGUUUAAGCCCAUGCCACCAGUACAGUUCUCGCAAGUCGUGAUACAACUUAUUCCCUCCAGGAUGCAUGGCACAAAGUCCCCCAUGAGCUUCCUUCAAUAUUGACUGUCUCAAGUCAGAGUCCUUCGGAACACAAAUUCUUCCUCGGAAGCAUAAAACUCCUUCAGUAUUCAGUCCAAAAUCCUCAUUCUCACCCUUCUCAACUUGCUGAAAUCGAAGAACCAACGAGUUAUCCUUCAACUGUUUUUCUUUAAUCUGUUCAGUCCAAAUAGGCCUCACUUGCAAUUCUGCUAACAGACUUCCAUAAUCAAACAGACUCAAAUGUGCAAACAAGGCUCUCAAAUCAGAAACAACCCUUCGACUCAACGCAUCAGCCACCAUGUUAGCCUUACCUGGGUGGUACUCAAUCGAACAGUCGUAAUCCUUAAGCAACUCUACCCAUCUUCGUUGCCUAAGCUUUAACUCCUUCUGAGUUAACAGAUACUUUAGGCUCUUAUGGUCCGUGUAUAUGAUACACUUUUCUCCAUAUAAGUAAUGUCUCCAGAUUUUCAACGCGAAGAUCACUGCUGCUAGCUCUAAGUCAUGCGUAGGGUAGUUCGCUUCAUGAGACUUAAGCUGUCGCGAAGCAUAAGCGACCACCUUACCCUCUUGCAUCAGUACACAUCCUAACCCCACAUGUGACGCAUCGCUGUACACAGUGAAGCCCUUCCCAGACUCCGGUUGAAUCAACACUGGUGCUUCAGUCAAUACCUUUUUUAAAUGGUCAAAAGCUUUUUACUGACUCUCAGUCCAGACAAAUGCUACCCCUUUUCUUAAUAGUUUCGUUAAUGGUGCAGCAAUCAGAGAAAAUCCUUUUACGAACCUUCGGUAAUAGCCUGCCAAACCCAGAAAACUCUAAAUUUUUGAUACUGAUUUUGGUGGCUUCCAUCUCAGAACUGCCUCAACUUUUCGAGGAUCCACUCUAAUUCCUUCAGCAGAAACCACAUGACCUAGAAAAGCCACUUCUCGCAACCAAAAUUCACACUUACUAAACUUUGCAUACAGUUCCUUCUCUCUCAGCACUUGCAGCACAAUACGUAGAUGCUCCUCAUGUUUCUCCUCGGUUUCCGAGUAUACCAGAAUAUCAUCGAUGAAAACAACCACGAAUCGGUCCAAGUAAGGUUGGAACACUCGAUUCAUUAGAUCCAUGAAAGCGGCAGGUGCGUUCGUCAACCCAAACGGCAUAACCAGGAACUCGUAAUGACCAUAUCGAGUCCUGAAUGCUGUCUUAUGAAUAUCCACUUCCUUUACCCUUAACUGAUGGUAUCCAGAUCGAAGGUCAAUCUUGGAAAAUACCGAAGCUCCUCUAAGCUGGUCGAACAGAUCAUCAAUCAUUGGCAGUGGAUACUUAUUCUUAAUCGUCAGUUUGUUCAACUGGUGAUAAUCAAUGCACAUCUGCAUCGUACCAUCCUUCUUUUUCACGAAUAGCACCGGUGCUCCCCAUGGAGACACGCUUGGCCUAAUGAAGCCCCAAUCCAACAACUCUUGAAUUUGUGUCUUUAGCUCCACCAACUCCUUCGGUGCCAUUCUAUACGGUGCGAUAGACACAGGUGCCGUUCCAGGCAAUAAGUCAAUUCCAAACUCCACUUCUCGGUUCGGAGGCAAUCUUGGAAGCUCCUCCGGAAAAACAUCUUGGAACUCCUUUACAGUCCUAACCUUAUCUACUGUCAGUCCCUCUUCUUCCAACUGACUUACAAAUGCCAAAUAGGCCUCACAACCUUUCUGAAUCCACUUAUCGGCUCUUAAUGCCGACACCACAUUGGACAAAUAAUCCCUUCGUUCACCUAUCACCAUAACCUCCUCAUCCUUUGUGGUCCUUAACACCAUUCGUUUAGCAGCACAAUCCAGGGUCGCUUUAUGCUUAACAAGCCAGUCCAUUCCCAAAAUGAAAUCAAACUCUCCGAACGGUAACUCCAUCAGAUCUCCAGGAAAAAUCCUACCUUGAGUUUCUAAGGGUACAUCCCUAUACAGUUUGUUUACCCUAACCGAGUGACCCAAAUGACUUAGUACAGAUACCCCACUCACAAUCUCCUCAUAGUGCACACCCAACGACCCAGAUAUGACACAUGCAACAUAAAAAUGAGUAGAUCCAACAUCCACCAAGGUAGUAUACGGCAUGUUAGAAAUAAAAAAUGUACCAGUUAUGACGUCAGGUGCGUCACCCUCCUCGCGGCGACGAGCAGCAUAUACCAAAGCUGGCUGACGAGCCUCAGUGUUAACGGUACCCUUUCCAAGUGCCCCACGUCCAUGGCCAUUGCUACCGCGACCUCGGCCAUGACCUCUCGACGGCGACGGUCCACCUCGCGCUGUUUGCACGGGUUGCACAACCCUUUGUUCAACCACUUGAGCCUGAUCUGGCCUCUUAGGACAAUCCCUGAUCUUAUGUUCCUUUGAUCCACAAUGAAGACAAGCCCCAGAACGUUUCCAACAUUCCCCCAGAUGCAUUCUACCACAAUCUCCACAAGCUUGUGGUCUAACAGUAUUCACCGGAACCGCUCGAACUGGUUCUUCCAUCCUAGCUCUCUUAACAUUCCGAUUUGCAGCACCAGUUGGUCCAACAUCUCUCCUGAACCAAUUUUGAUCCCUGUCACGGUUCUUUCGUUUAGCUUGCUUCACCUCUUUGGCUAUCUUAGCCUUUUCUACCAGUGCAGCAAAAUCGCGCUCUCUUUGCGGAGCUAUGAUCACCCUUAGCUCAUCCCUGAAGCCAUCCUCAAAGCGAACACUGCACUCGUAUUCGGUAGAGACAAUACCAUUAGCAUACCGGCUCAAUCGCAGAAACUCUGCCUCAUAUUCAGCAACGGUCUUACCACCCUAGGUCAGGUUUAGGAAUUCUUUCCUUCGCGCAUCCACAUAGCUAGCUCCGACAUACUUCGUCUUGAAGGACUGCUUAAACAACUCCCAAGUUACCCUCUCAGCUGGGGUACCCUCUCUCACAGUGAUCCACCACUGAUACGCCUCAUCCCGUAGUAAGGAUACUGCUCCUUUUAACUUUUUCUCUACUGAGCAGUCCAAGUCAUUCAUAAUCCGUUCCGUGGCUUCCAGCCAGUACUCAGCCACAUUUGGGGCUACUCCAGAUACACCCCUAAAAACUUCCGCUCCGUUGGCCCGAAGUCGCUCAGAAAUGGACCCCCUAUUUAUGGGCCCGAUAUUAGCUCCGGCCACCUUUUCUAAAACUCUUAACAUGGCCUGGGAUAGAGCGUCAUCACCCGCGGCCCGAUCAUACGGCCCAUUCUCAUCCACCGGUAGUGGUCGUGCUACUCCAGCGGGUAUGUGUUCAGAAGACGAAGAUCUAGCUUGAGUAUUACCUUGGCCUCGACCACGGCCUCGACCACGGCCUCUUCCCCGAGUAGCUCUUGUACUCAUAUCGAUUUAUCUGAUUACGAAUUUUAUGCAGUUAGUUUACUGUUUCCACUGUUUAUUACAGAAUAUCUUAUGAACAGAUAAGGUUUCAGAGUUGUUCUCGCGUAACCACAGUUUAGCUACUGUCUUAGUUUCCUAGGGCUUAGUUUAACCUACAGUCUCAAUUUCGUAGCCUUUACGCUAUAUUAUCUAUAGUACUGUCUCUAAGGUUUAGUACUAACUAUAGUACAGUUUAGUAUAUAAAACAAAAUAGUACUUACAGCCUUGGUGCCGGGGAUUCAGUGUGCCACCUCAUCAGUUUUCAGAUAAACUCAAAAGAUUUAGACUUUUUGAAAUCCAUUUUCCAAACAUUUGUGUUAAAAAAACAAGUUCGGAGAUUAUCUCCUUUAAACAGGAAAUUACAAAAGUCAGAUUUUUCCAAAAAUACCUUUUUUUUGCAUAAAAUUUUGAAAACCCUUUUUGGACUCGAUCCACAGCCGAGUUGUUAUAACUGGGCUCUGAUACCACUAAAUGUAGCACCCCAAACCCGGCCCAGACGUUAUGGCUAGAUCCGACAUGCCACAUCGAAGCGUUAAAAAUAUUUUAUAUUGUUGAUCCAGAAAAAUCUACUUAGUGUUUUAAAAGAUAAUUUCAUUAUAGGUUAAAGUGAAUGGAAGCUGUGCACCAGGUAGGAAACCGGAAAAGAGGUGGUGAGUCCAUCGGACUGCUUAAGUACCAAGCUCCCUUCGGAUCCAAUCCUAGACAUGCAUACCACCAUUGUCACACCUUAACGUCAUGGAUAUUUCUAGGAAACCGAUUUGAUUAAGUCAUUUUUAGGAAAAGUGAUUAAUUUUGGAAAAUACUUUAAUUGCGGAAGCUUUGCUUCUUGUCGUGUUAUUUUGAAAUCAACUGUUGUUUUUGAAAAUGCGCCCUAAAGCUAUCCAAUUUCAACAGUUAAAAUAAGUAAUACCUGUCUUAGUAAUACAUAUUAAAACCAUUAAAAAUAAUUAAGCGGCCUUAUUACAUUUAAAAACCCAAAACUUCAAACGUAAAUAAAAGGAUGUCCAGUUCACCAGAAGAAAAUCAAACUUUCAGAACGGGUGGCCACUCCAAAUUGCCUCACAGCUCCAAGCCCACUAUGGUUGGGGAUUUCCUGCGUGGAUGAAAAUAAAAGGGGUGAGUUUGAGGAAACUCAGUGUGUAAGGAAAACCCAUUCAAAGCCCAAGUCAGCUCAAGCCUAUUGGGCCUAAGCCCAUUCAGGUAACAGUGGUACUGGGCCAAAGACCUUUUCAGAUUACAAUAAACUGGGCCUUAGCCCCUUAUUCAGAUAACAGUAUGGCCCAUAGGCCCAUUUCAAAAUACAUGCAACAUCAAUAACAUAUGCAAGCCCAUUUGGGGAGACUACUCAACCCACCAACCAUUACACUCCACCCGUACCAUCCAUACACUCUAUGUGGGGAAUAGCUCAACCCACCCAGCCCAACACUCCAUAGUUGCAGCCUUGCUGCUCAGUUAACAGUAAAUUGAGGCAAAGCCUCCAGUAUGUAGACAAGCCACUUUCAGUACUUCCUCCGUCAAUAUCCCAAUCCCAUGCAUCAGAUAAUAAAAACAUGGCAUGCAGUAAAUAACAGCAGUCAAACAUGCAUUUAGGUCAAUUUAACCCUAGGGGUAUUUCAGUAAUUUAUCUCUUAGGGGUAAAACUGUAAAUUUUCCACUUUUAAAGGUAUUUCAGUAAUUUAUCUAUUUUAGGGUUUUUCAUGCAUAUUCCUACCUUUCACGUACUACAGAAUCACGUACCGAGGGUUCUUACCGAAUUGGGCCCGUUGGCCCAUCAUUCCAAUUUUGGCCCAUUAAUCCCAAAAAUAUUGAGGGCGCAAAAAUCAUGUACUUUGCAGUCCAAACAUUGCAGCUUACCAAAAACAUUAAUCGAUUUACCUCACGAGCAUUCACAAACUCGCAAAUCUACAAAAUACCGGUUUUCGGUAUUUCGGCUUUUCGACUUUUGCCAAUCUAGACUAAGAAAGAGGGUGUUAGUUACACACCUGUUUGCGACGAUAUGCUGACGAGAUCCAUACACGAACCGCCUACAAUUGGAUUACUAACACGUUAAUCUAACUAUUUAAAUACAAAAUACGUAUUAACCCCUUACAAUAUUUGGCCAACCACACCUACAGAUCAUAGUAAGCUUAUAACAAAUCAAUAAGCAACUCAUUAACAAAUUUUUUGUUAAUGUUUACCACAUAAUCAUAAUUUCACUGCAAGCUGUCUUCGUGAGCAACAGUCACUAAAUUAUUUAUAACUGGAGCUACGAAACUCCAAAUUAAGUUUCGUUAAUUUUCCCUGAAAAUAGACUCAUAUAUCUUCUAUCCAUAAAAGUUUCAGAAUUUUUGGUUUGGCCAAUCAAUAGCAGAAUUUUUCUCAAAGUUUCCCAUGUUUCACUGUUUGACUAAUCUGACCACUCUUCAUUACGAAUCAAAUUUAUCAUUGUACAGAAUUCAAAAUAUGUUCUUGUUUAUUUCAUUAGAAACUAGACUCAAUAAGAUUUAAUUACAUAAUUUAUUCAGCUUCUAAUUCAUCUCCCACAAUUUAUGGUGAUUUUCCAAAGUCACGUUACUACUGCUGUCCCAAGCAGAUUUAUUACCAAAUCACUCUUUCACACAUACCUUGCAUGCAUGUUAUUUAAACAUGUAUAUCACCAAUCAAUCAUCACAUAUCUAUGAUUUUACUUAAGAAUAAUCUCCAUUUCAUCAUUUUAAAGCACAACAUGUUAGCUGAUUUUUCCCUUUAACAUCUAUGGCACAUGCAUGCUCAUUUGUUUGGCUCAACUUCACCUAUCUUCCAUUUUUUUCAUCAAAAGAACAUGAAACAACAACUAUUUCCUUCAUUUUAAUUCAUGACUAAAUGCUCACAACACAACUAAAAACAAAAAUAUGCUUCAAGAGUUAAAGUAGAAUCAAGAAGAACUCAUGAACAUCAAGAUAUAAGCCAACUACCAUGAACUUACCUUCAAUUUUCUUCCCCAAGUGACCGAACACUCAAGAGCUUUCUCCUCUCCUUUCUCUUCUCUAACUUUCAGCUAUGAUGAACAAAGAUGGACAAAACUUUAUUCUUUUC
rnacentral:lncRNA from 1 species